UCCAGACUCCUACGGGAGGCAGCAGUGAGGAAUAUUGGUCAAUGGUCGGGAGACUGAACCAGCCAAGCCGCGUGAGGGAUGACGGUCCUAUGGAUUGUAAACCUCUUUUGUCAGGGAGCAAAGGGCGCCACGUGUGGCGCUUUGCGAGUACCUGAAGAAAAAGCAUCGGCUAACUCCGUGCCAGCAGCCGCGGUAAUACGGAGGAUGCGAGCGUUAUCCGGAUUUAUUGGGUUUAAAGGGUGCGUAGGCGGAAUGCCAAGUCAGCGGUAAAAAUGCGGUGCUCAACGCCGUCGAGCCGUUGAAACUGGCGUUCUUGAGUGGGCGAGAAGUAUGCGGAAUGCGUGGUGUAGCGGUGAAAUGCAUAGAUAUCACGCAGAACUCCGAUUGCGAAGGCAGCAUACCGGCGCCCUACUGACGCUGAGGCACGAAAGCGUGGGUAUCGAACAGGAUUAGAUACCCCGGUA
rnacentral:rRNA from 1 species